CACCGGCGGCUCGAGUGGUAACCGCUAUUAUUGGGUCUAAAGGGUCUGUAGCCGGCCGGAUAAGUCUUUUGGGAAAUCCAGCUGCUCAACAGUUGGGCUUUCAGAAGAUACUGUUCGGCUCGAGACCGGGAGAGGUGAGAGGUACUUCAGGGGUAGGGGUGAAAUCUUGUAAUCCUUGAAGGACCACCAGUGGCGAAGGCGUCUCACCAGAACGGAUCUGACGGCAAGGGACGAAAGCUAGGGGCACGAACCGG
rnacentral:rRNA from 1 species